ACUCAAAGGAAUUGACGGGGGCCCGCACAAGCAGCGGAGCAUGUGGUUUAAUUCGAAGCAACGCGAAGAACCUUACCAGGUCUUGACAUCCAUCUAAAGCUGCGGAGACGCAGUGUGAGCAAGCUCGAGAUGAGACAGGUGGUGCAUGGUUGUCGUCAGCUCGUGUCGUGAGAUGUUGGGUUAAGUCCCGCAACGAGCGCAACCCUUGCCGGUAGUUACUAACGGGAAGAGCCGAGGACUUUACCGGGACCGCCGGGGACAACUCGGAGGAAGGUGGGGACGACGUCAAAUCAUCAUGCCCCUUAUGACCUGGGCUACACACGUGCUACAAUGGCCGAGACAGAGGGCGGCGAAGGCGCGAGCCGGAGCGAAUCUCAAAAAAGCGGUCACAGUUCGGAUUGCGGGCUGCAACCCGCCCGCAUGAAGCAGGAGUUGCUAGUAAUCGCGAAUCAGCAUGUCGCGGUGAAUACGUUCCCGGGCCUUGUACACACCGCCCGU
rnacentral:rRNA from 1 species